UCGUGUAACAAAAAGCUCUUUUUAUACAAGUGUUCUGAUUGAUUUUACGCCAUAACAAGAUCGGCUAAAGCUGCUUUUUAUGAAAUGGUGGGUGCCAACGUCCGUCGUGGUGGAGAGGGACACAAUCCUGACUACCAUUUAAGGUCCCCAGGUUAUGGUUAAGUGGGAAAGGAUGUGAAGAUUCCAAAAUAACAAGGAUAUUGGCUUAGAAGUCGCCACCAUUUAAAGAAAAUGUAACAGCUCACUGGUUUUUCAAGAAGGGUCCCUGCGUUGAAGGCGUAUCAAAUAAGAUUAUAAAUGAUCAUUGCAAGAGAAGAGCAGCGAUGGAGCGCGA
rnacentral:ncRNA from 1 species